CUUUUUUUUUUUUUUUUUUCUUUAAUAUUGUGGUUUUCCUUCAAAAUUAAGCAUGGUGUUUGUUCCUCAACUAGAACAGUAACCUUACUAGUAGCACUUCUGUUACUGAGGAAAUUGUCCCAAUAACAUGAGUGGAGUAUUGAUUUCCAGGGGGAGAUGAGCAGCAGAAAUGAAUGAACCCCUGACAGUAAAAGCUGAAAUUUUCCUCAUGGAAAUGUCAAUGUAAGGCCCCCACAGAUAUCAGGAAAGCUGGAAAUAUUUAUAUGUGUAGAGCAAGCUAAACUAGAUAGAUGAUGAAUUUAAUCCCAAUUUAAUUUGCUGAAAUAGCAAAUAAAGAAGGUGAGACAGGCAAUGGAGAAUGGAGGGAGGUGAAAGGACAAAUGAAAUUACACCUAGUUAAAUAACUAAUCAGAAAGAGCAACCUCUGUCAAUUCUGAGACCUGCAUAAGGCCGGAAAUUACUUUGGAGUGAGAAAGAGUGACAGAAAAGAUAACUAUCACUUCAUGGUGAAAAACAUGAGAAAAGAUCAAUGAGAAGAGGAGAAGCAAGGAAGCUUAGGUUGUGUGUACUUACCAAAAUUAGUAUUUUCCAUUUCCACAGCCUCCAGAUCAGGAAUAUUGAUCCAUCUGUUCAUUCACCUGCUCUUCCUCCUCUUUUUCUGCACCCUUUUUGUUGUGCAAUAGCUGAAGAGCUGGUACCCAACUACAGUCAUGCUGAAGCUCUACUUAGCUCUGAAUUGCUGAUGUGUCCCCACUCUCCAUUUAAAUCCUGCGUGUAAGUGUAAGCAGUUAAAGAUGUUUGUAGUUCUAAAUUAAGGUUGUACCAUUAGCAAAAUGUACCAGCUGCACUUUUUUCAUGCAUUUCUCAUGUACUUGUGUGAUUUUUACUUUCCUUGGUUGGAAAUGUGCUGCUCUUCUACGAGCAGAAUGUUAUACAAAAUGUCACAGGGAGAAGGAAGGUAAUUCAUGCUGGCCAUAGCCACAGCUUCAGACUUACCUGAUGUCCCGCUGGCAGCAGCAAAGUUAGUUUGAUUUCAAGAAAAUGUCACUUAAGGGUUAAUAUUUUCUUCCUACUUCUAUUUAUUGAGAGAAAAAUCUGAAUGCCUAUAUUUUCUGUUACUGAAUACUGACCUUCCAGAUAUUGCUUAAAAUAAAAGGAAUUUUAAAAAUC
ensembl:lncRNA